CCUUGGAGUCUCAGAGAGGUUUGAUCCUGGCUCAGGAUGAACGCUAGCUACAGGCUUAACACAUGCAAGUCGAGGGGCAUCGGGAAGUUAGCUUGCUAACUUGCCGGCGACCGGCGCACGGGUGAGUAACGCGUACCCAACCUUCCCUAUAGUAGAGGAUAGCCCGGAGAAAUUCGGAUUAAUACUCUAUGUUCUUCCAUGCGGACAUCUAAUUGGAAGCAAAGGUUCACCGCUAUAGGAUGGGGGAUGCGUCUGAUUAGAUAGUAGGCGGGGUAACGGCCACCUAGUCGACGAUCAGUAGGGUUCUGAGAGGAAGGUCCCCCACAUUGGAACUGAGACACGGUCCAAACUCCUACGGGAGGCAGCAGUGAGGAAUAUUGGUCAAUGGGCGCGAGCCUGAACCAGCCAAGUAGCCGUGCAGGAUGACGGCCCUAUGGGUUGUAAACUGCUUUUAGGUACGGGGAUAAAGUGUACCACGUGUGGUGUUUUGUAGGUACCGUAUGAACUAAGGACCGGCCUAAUUCCGUGCCAGCCGCAGC
rnacentral:rRNA from 1 species